CUUAGAACGCUUUCUGAGCGGGGGAUCCCGAGUUCGAGAGCUUUGAUGACACCUUAACUAUAACUGAUGCGCCUUGUUUAAGUAGUUGAGUGGAGUGUUCUCUGAAGCCUGCAGAAUUCAUUUGGCAUGUGUCAGCAAUGUUCAGUUGUGGAGUAUCUGAGAGGUGAUUUGACCAUUGGUAAUGUCACAUCUGAAUGAGCUGUUAGAAAUUGAAGACUGCUUCAGGAAGACAAAUCAUUGAAGGACUGUGCCUUUGAAGGAUAUAGCUUCUUUUAUCUCUCUGUGCUUCCUGGACAGCUUUGCAGUCUCACACACUCCCCACCAUGAUGCUGUGACUCACCACUGGUCUCUCAACCUGUAAGCCAAUACGUGUGUUUGUUUUCUUUUGUUUGUUUGUUUUGAAGCAGGGUCUCUCUCUGCAUAGGGCUAGCUGUCCUAGAACUCACCAGGCACACCAAG